rnacentral:rRNA from 1 species
UGGGGAAUAUUGGACAAUGGGGGAACCGUGCAUCCAGCCAUGCCGCGUGUGUGAAGAAGGCCUUAUGGUUGUAAAGCACUUUAAGCGAGGAGGAGGCUCUUUUGGUUAAUACCCAAGAUGAGUGGACGUUACUCGCAGAAUAAGCACCGGCUAACUCUGUGCCAGCAGCCGCGGUAAUACAGAGGGUGCGAGCGUUAAUCGGAUUUACUGGGCGUAAAGCGUGCGUAGGCGGCUUUUUAAGCGAUGUGAAUCCGAACCGCGUAUACUUGGGAAUUGCAUUCGAUACUGGGAAGCUAGAGUAUGGGAGAGGAUGGUAGAAUUCCAGGUGUAGCGGUGAAAUGCGUAGAGAUCUUGGAGGAAUACCGAUGGCGAAGGCAGCCAUCUGGCCUAAUACUGACGCUGAGGUACGAAAGCAUGGGGAGCAAACA